rnacentral:rRNA from 1 species
ACCAAGAAGUAAUUAUAAAUACCUGAGUAGUAACAGCUAUGUUCUAAAAAUUUGAAAAAUUUGGCGGUGGUUUAGUCUUGUCAGAGGAACCUGUCUUUUAAACGAUACACCACGAAAUAUCUUACUUGAGUUUGUAUAGUAUGUAUACCAUCAUUAUUAGGUAAUUUUUAUAGAAUAAAUUACUGGAAAGUUUCGAUAAUGUUGAAUAUAUUAGAUCAAGGUGCAGCUGAUACUCAAGUUAAGGUGGGUUACAAUAGUAUUUACGCUAUUACGGAUAAGUAAAUGAAACUUUACUUUGAAGGAGGAUUUGAUUGUAAAUUUAGUUUAAUAAGCUAAUUUGAUAUAAGCUCUAAAGCAUGU